rnacentral:rRNA from 1 species
UACGAAGGGGGCUAGCGUUGUUCGGAAUCACUGGGCGUAAAGCGCACGUAGGCGGAUCGUUAAGUCGAGGGUGAAAUCCCAGGGCUCAACCCUGGAACUGCCUUCGAUACUGGCGAUCUUCGAGUCCGGGAGAGGUGAGUGGAACUCCGAGUGUAGAGGUGAAAUUCGUAGAUAUUCGGAAGAACACCAGUGGCGAAGGCGGCUCACUGGCCCGGUACUGACGCUGAGGUGCGAAAGCGUGGGGAGCCAAACAGG